rnacentral:rRNA from 1 species
GGAACAAUUGGAGGGCAAGUCUGGUGGACNUUCAGCUCCCAUUCUGCUGACGCCAGAGAUAGUCGGGCAUCGUCAAGAUGUUAUGCCGGCUAGUCGAUGUACCCGCUUAAUUGAUGGGAGGGUACCGGCAAGACAACCUGGAUCGGGGAAAGCUAAGGUAUCUGCAAGAUGCUAUGCUAAUCCCGAGCAGAGCUGCCACGGAGCGAUCUGUGGACAGCCUGUGUAGAGCACGCUAAGGUGUCGGCCAACUCACGUAGUUGGCUUAAGGGACGUGCCAUUCCCACUUGAAAGAGUGGCUGUUAGCAAUAGCGCCCAUCACGCGAAGGCUAACAGAUCAAACAAAGCGCAUGCGAUGUUUGAAGUUUCAAUAGGCCAGCAGCCGCGGUAAUUCCAGCUCCAAUAGCGUAUAUUAAAGUUGUUGCAGUUAAAAAGCUCGUAGUUGAACCUUGGGCCUGGCUGGCAGGUCCGCCUCACCGCGUGUACUUGUCCGGCCGGGCCUUCCUUCUGGAGAACCUCAUGCCCUUCACUGGGCGUGUUGGGGACCAGAACUUUUACUUUGAAAAAAUUAGAGUGUUCAAAGCAGGCCUUUGCUCGAAUACGUUAGCAUGGAAUAAUAAAAUAGGACGUGCGGUCCUAUUUUGUUGGUUUCUAGGACCGCCGUAAUGAUUAAUAGGGACAGUCGGGGGCAUCAGUAUUCAAUUGUCAGAGGUGAAAUUCUUGGAUUUAUUGAAGACUAACUACUGCGAAAGCAUUUGCCAAGGAUGUUUUCAUUAAUCAGUGAACGAAAGUUAGGGGAUCGAAGACGAUCAGAUACCGUCGUAGUCUUAACCGUAAACUAUGCCGACUAGGGAUC